rnacentral:lncRNA from 1 species
UAUCCAGAGUUUCCAAGCACAAUUUUUGUAGGGUGUUUUCUGCAGCUGUGACCCAUGCAUACACACCCUAGCCUCCAGCACAGCAUUGACCACCCAGCUAAUCUCAUUCAGCAUUUUCCUUGGCAACAUUGAGGCAGCAUUUGAGAAGAAUUAACCUUCAACUCACCAACCUGCUCUUAGGCAUUUUCUUCAAGGAUGCUAUCCACAGAUGCCAAGUAAGUGGAACAGAUAUACGAGGUGUGUCAGAAAAGUUCCAGGACUGAUAUCACAAAAGAAAUAUAUACCCAAAUUACAGACUUUGAGUUUUCCCUUUCGAAGCAAUCCCACUGGAGUCUUACACAAUGUCCCAUCUUUCUCUGCCAUGCCUCCAUGCACUCCUGAAUGAUUUUUCUUGGAUCCUCUGCAGCUUUUUCCGUCCUCAUGGCCAUGUUUACAUCUUCCACAUUUGUAACUCUUUGUGCGACCAAC